rnacentral:rRNA from 1 species
GGCUGUCGUCAGCUCGUGUUGUGAAAUGUUGGGUUAAGUCCCGCAACGAGCGCAACCCUUAUCCUUUGUUGCCAGCGGUCCGGCCGGGAACUCAAAGGAGACUGCCAGUGAUAAACUGGAGGAAGGUGGGGAUGACGUCAAGUCAUCAUGGCCAUUACGACCAGGGCUACACACGUGCUACAAUGGCGCAUACAAAGAGAAGCGACCUCGCGAGAGCAAGCGGACCUCAUAAAGUGCGUCGUAGUCCGGAUUGGAGUCUGCAACUCGACUCCAUGAAGUCGGAAUCGCUAGUAAUCGUGGAUCAGAAUGCCACGGUGAAUACGUUCCCGGGCCUUGUACACACCGCCCGUCACACCAUGGGAGUGGGUUGCAAAAGAAGUAGGUAGCUUAACCUUCGGGAGGGCGCUUACCACUUUGUGAUUCAUGACUGGGGUGAAGUCGUAACAAGGUAACCGUAGGGGAACCUGCGGCUGGAUCACCUC